UACAUAUAAAAUGAUAUGCUCUAGGACAUACUACUAACACUUUCAUCAAUGAAUUCUAUUAGCUCAAAAACAUAAUAAAUUCAAUUCCAGAAUAGGGAAUAUUGUUGAGGCAUCUAAACCAAAGUAGGUUGUUCUCAGCUGCUUGGUGAGCUGGACAUUCUUCUCAGAUUGCUUUAUCAUCUAUCUGUAUUAUUAAUGGCAUUUCUUAGUUCCAUUUCUAAGAAUAUAAAUAAUGAAGGAAACUUUUAUCUCCUAAAAGGGUGCUAACCUGUCACAAUGAACUCUCUCCUUCCUCCCCUCCCCAUAGGAUGGAAAUAAUAGAAAGAAAAACAAUAUGAUUAUUU
rnacentral:misc_RNA from 1 species